GUGGGUGUAGAGUUUUCCAACGUUGUUAUCCCCCAGAUUAAGAAAUUUGGAAGACUUGCUAUACGUGGGCCCAUCUCUACAUAUAACAGAACCGGCCCCCUUCCCCCAGAAACCACAUCCCCAUCAGCGUGGACAAUCCCAGAAACAGUAUUUCAUCCUCUUCCAAGAUGAGAAAAUGAGGACUCCACUUCUUAACCCAAGAGAAAUAUGGCUGGGAACUGUUUGGGAAGUUUUUGGUGGACCUUGCUUCUGGCAGGUGAGGGAUGAACAGUUCCUGGCUGCCUGGCCUGUACCAAGGACUCCAGGCCCACCCCGGAGGCCACCAUCUUUAAGGAGCUUCACUUCGAAGGCUUCCCCGUCUACUGCUGGCAAGGAGAAGUCCGCCAGAGGCUCUGAAAGGCUUGCUGACAGGGGUCUCAGAGGGUAAAAUCCAGUACCAUGAACACAUCACUGAAGGAUUUGAAAACAUGCCAGCUGCAUUUAUGGGAAUGCUGAAAGGAGAGAAUCUGGGGAAGCAAUAGUGAAAGCAUGAACAAAAAUGACACAUGGAAUCUAGAAAUCAUUUGGAUGUUUACUUAGUUUCUUUAUAAUCAUUUAGUAAAAGGUAUGCUGUCUUCAUGAUCUAAAAAACAUUAAUUGUAAUGCAUUUGAUCUACCUAAUAAAAUACAUGUAAGUGGAAUAUAAUUAGCAAGAGAGAGCGAAAUUUUCAUAUUGAACAAUGGCCAAGUGAACUUACUGCCUGCUAUAGUUCCCUCAGGGUUAUGGUAGAAAAUAAUGGCUCUCGAGUCCAAAAGUUUACUGCUUCUGUGACCUUGAACUUCUGAUUUUUCAUCUGUAAAGUGAGGACAGUAACAUCUGCUUCACAUACAUAUUAUACAUUUAUUUAAAACACUAGCAUAACAUGUGGCAUAUAUUAGGUACUCAGUGUUAGCUACCUCCCUGCAGAAAUCAGUGAAUUUGAAGUCAAGAUCACCACCCCUAUGGCUUAUGGUUACACAAGGAGAAAUAACCAUUGCUGAUGUACACGGACUCAGGGGAGCCCCCAUUGGUCCUCUGCGGGCAGGUCUAAUGUGGCAGACCAAGGAAGGAAUCUAUCGCUCACAACAGCUACAAAAAAAGAUAACAUAUGGGAAUCUUUAUAAGCCAACAAAAAUGUGAGGGAUUAUUAUGAAGAAAACUUUGAAACAUGACUGAGAAACACAAAAGAAGACUGAACAUAUGGAAGUUACCAUGCUCUUGGACUGGGAGAUUCAGUAUCAUGAAAAUGUCAGUUCUGUUGAUCAAUUCUGCUACCAAAUAGAGGAGGGAUCAAAUUGGAGUGCAAAGAAAAAAUAAGAGAAAAAAGUGUGCGAUUGUGUGUGUGUGUGUGUGUGUGUGUGUGUGUGUGUGUGU
ensembl:lncRNA